rnacentral:rRNA from 1 species
UACGUAGGGUGCGAGCGUUGUCCGGAAUUAUUGGGCGUAAAGGGCUCGUAGGCGGUUUGUCGCGUCGGGAGUGAAAACACUGGGCUUAACUCAGUGCUUGCUUCCGAUACGGGCAGACUAGAGGUAUGCAGGGGAGAACGGAAUUCCUGGUGUAGCGGUGAAAUGCGCAGAGUAUCAGGAGGAACACCGGUGGCGAAGGCGGUCUCUGGGCAUUACCUGACGCUGAGGAGCGAAAGUGUGGGGAGGCGAACAGG